CAUAAACGCAAGGGGCGCCGAUUCAGGCUGAGAAGAUACCCUUUGAACCUGACCUGGGCAAUGCCAGCGUAGGGAAUGGCAGUGGUCGUGUU
rnacentral:ncRNA from 2 species